rnacentral:rRNA from 1 species
AUUGAACGCUGGCGGCAGGCCUAACACAUGCAAGUCGAGCGGAUGAAGGGAGCUUGCUCCUGGAUUCAGCGGCGGACGGGUGAGUAAUGCCUAGGAAUCUGCCUGGUAGUGGGGGAUAACGUCCGGAAACGGGCGCUAAUACCGCAUACGUCCUGUGGGAGAAAGUGGGGGUUCUUCGGACCUCACGCUAUCAGAUGAGCCUAGGUCGGAUUAGCUAGUUGGUGGGGUAAAGGCCUACCAAGGCGACGAUCCGUAACUGGUCUGAGAGGAUGAUCAGUCACACUGGAACUGAGACACGGUCCAGACUCCUACGGGAGGCAGCAGUGGGGAAUAUUGGACAAUGGGCGAAAGCCUGAUCCAGCCAUGCCGCGUGUGUGAAGAAGGUCUUCGGAUUGUAAAGCACUUUAAGUUGGGAGGAAGGGCAGUAAGUUAAUACCUUGCUGUUUUGACGUUACCAACAGAAUAAGCACCGGCUAACUUCGUG